GUAUAAUGCGUGGGAGAUGACACAGUAUCCUAGUCGGGGCUUUCGAUCACCAGGGCGGGCCUAAAAAUCCGUCGAAGGGCAUAUCGAUGAAGUCCCUUGGGGUUGCCUUUGACGCCCAGUCGAGGGUUUCGCCAGGGGGUUAAGGAAGAUGGGGCAACCUGCAACGGCAUGUAGGCCUCGACCCUGCUUCCGUGGAGACCACGAUGCCACAUCCGCGGUGUAACAAUCCAGCGAUGCUUUUCGCAGCAAGCCGCAGACUGUGAGUCGGGGGAAAACCUGGGAAUGAGUCAGGGCCUGUUGUGGCCCGGAAGGAUUUUGAACCAGCGUAGCCUGCCUUGAGUGGUUCGGGUGGAUGGAUUGACAGUUUUUGGGAAAUCAGGGCCCGAUUUCUUAGAAAUAUUGCAUCCGAAACCCCUUCUGCAAAAGAGGCUAAGGAUCGAAAAGCGCCGCCGCGGAAAACGCCUAGGCUGCUCGCAAGAAAUGCUGUGGGGAUUAUAGUGCACACUCAGUGGCAAUCCAGCCCCGCUUUCGGAAACGAGGCGGAAAAGCUGUAGAGGGAAACCGUCGGCCCGGCGACAGGCCGGUCAGCUUUUGGGAAAUCCUGCUGGACCUAUGUUGCAAAGUUUACUCGCGGCACCGUCAUCUUGCAAAAGGAUUAU
rnacentral:sRNA from 1 species